UGCAUCUGAUGGUGCCAUUAUGAAGAUGAACUGUUAACUAAAUUGCUUUGGUGGAAUAUGUAUGCUAGGGAAGAGAGCGUGCUGGCCCUUCUCAAAGUGUCCCAUGAAAAAGUUAUUCCACACCUCCUCCCUGACCUUGUCGUGCAGACGCUUCCAGGAUGAACUCCAACUCGCCGAGCCACCGCAGCUCCUCAGCUGACUAAAAGAGUUAAUGAUCCUCCAGGUUAAAACUCCUCCUUGAGCACACACCUUCUCUCAACAAAUGACAAUACUUGGCAAACUGAACUCCUCCCACGAGUCGCCCUCUGCUAGGAGGAAUUGCUGGCUGCUCCCUGCUUAUUGCAUUCUCUCAGAGCAGCUGUCUCAAAGGAGGCUGCUCCCAUGCCGAUCUUUU
ensembl:lncRNA ATP13A4-AS1 ATP13A4 antisense RNA 1